UACUCCAAACCCAUUGUGACCUUACCUAUGUUCUGUUGCCUCGGCGGCGUGGUCAGCGCCCCCUCUGAAAAGAGGACGAUGCCCUCCCGCCGGCAGCACCAAACUCUUGAAUUUUACAGCGGAUUACAGUUCUGAUUUGAAAAGAAAAAACAAGUUAAAACUUUCAACAACGGAUCUCUUGGUUCUGGCAUCGAUGAAGAACGCAGCGAAAUGCGAUAAGUAAUGUGAAUUGCAGAAUUCAGUGAAUCAUCGAAUCUUUGAACGCACAUUGCGCCCGGCAGUAAUCUGCCGGGCAUGCCUGUCCGAGCGUCAUUUCAACCCUCGAACCUCCGUUUCCUCAGGGAAGCUCAGGGUCGGUGUUGGGGCGCUACGGCGAGUCUUCGCGACCCUCCGUAGGCCCUGAAAUACAGUGGCGGUCCCGCCGCGGUUGCCUUCUGCGUAGUAAGUCUCUUUUGCAAGCUCGCAUUGGGUCCCGGCGGAGGCCUGCCGUCAAACCACCUAUAACUCCAGAUGGUUUGACCUCGGAUCAGGUAGGGUUACCCGCUGAACUUAAGCAUAUCAAUAAGCGGAGGUAAAAGAAA
rnacentral:rRNA from 1 species